AUCAUACUUGCAAUCUGACAGUCAGGCCAGGUGUGAGCCCAGGGACUGGGAUUCAUGGAUAUAAACCUGACUGACUAAGUUGUGGCAGGGUGCCACAAGUGCCACCAAGCAUCUAGAAAGGGAACAUAAUAGUGGCAAAGAGGGUUUGCUGAUGCACAUUCAGAUCACAGCUACUUUUGAUCCUGUCAGCUACUUGCCUCAUUUAACGGAGAGAUAGUUUGGGAUCACUCAGAGAACCAAAUGAAAUCUCCUUGGACAUUCUUCACAGAUCUGUGAAUUUUCAGAAGGUGUAUGCUGAAUAUAUUCCAA